rnacentral:lncRNA from 1 species
GCGAGCGCUCCAGGCCUCCUCCCGACCCUGCGCCGUGCCCAGCCCCUCUGCCCUCCUGUUACCCCGGGACCUCGGGCCGCCAGCCCCUUCCACGUGCAGGCUCCUGCUGCUCUCGCGGGGGCUUUUCGUGUGUCCCCCGAGAUGUCGAGGAAGCCAGAGUCCAGCUCUCCCACGGGUGGCUGUGAUCCUUCUUCCUGGGGAGUCCUGCUGUCCCUGACUAGGGGCACCUGCCCACCUGUCAGCUGCUCCUCCCUCGGCUGGUCCUCCUGGGCUCUGAUGGCCCCAACAUUUCUAGCUCUUCUCACCCAUAGUGCCCCGAGCUUCAUGCAGCUGCAGCAGGUACUGUGCCCGUCUGCCUGGCUUUUGUGUGUUUGUGUCUUGACUCUAUAACCCGUGCACACGGACUGGGCUGUGGUGUAGUGGGGAUGGCAGGAGCCCUGGGAACAUGCGGGCUGGGCAAGGUGAGGCAGGCUGAUUGCUGUGGCUCCCCCACCACCAGCCCCAGCCACAACAAACUGACAAAGGAAGAGGACAGUGGUGCCCUGGAGCCCUGGGGUCAGAGAGAGGAGGACAAAGCAGGUGUGUAGCCCAGGGAAUGACAGCACCCCUUCCGAGAAGACAGGGAAGGUGCAGACAUGGCCAGGUUCUGAGCUAGAAAACUGUCGGCAGGGGGCUGAAGCUGAGGAUAGUCAUUGCCAAGGAACAGCCUCCGUCACAGAGGAGACGCACAGAUGCGGUGACGAGGGAGGGAUGAGGGGCUGGUGACCGCUGGGAACAGAUGUGUGAGGCAGAGUCUCCAGGCAUGGUCUGCGGGGCGGUUUGAUGAUACUAGGACAUCUCUCAGAGUAGAAGGACGUCCCGACCUGCAGACUGGAAAGCCCCCAGAGCUCCCGGCAGGACGUAUGAGGGCCAGCCCACAACCGGGUCUGUCCUGAUACAACUGAACGCCACAGUGUCUUAGCUCCUUUACUGUUGCUAUCAAGAAAUACCUGAGGCUGGGAAAUUUAUGAAGAAUCAUGAGGUAAUUUGUAUAUUUGUCCACAGUAAACCUCAUGUUGAAUUGUAAACCCCAAGGCUGGAGGUGGCUGGGUCAUGGGGGUGGAUUUCUCAGGAAUGUUUAGCACCCUCCCCUUGGUGCUGUCCUUGAGAUAGUGAGUUCUCCUGAGAUCUGGUUAUUUAAAAAGUGUGGGGCACCUCUCUCUCUCGCUCACUCGCUCGCUCGCUCCUGCUCUGGCCAUGUGACGUGCCCGCUCCCCCAUUGCCUUUCACCAUGAUCGGAAGCUUCCGGAGGCCUCCCCAGAAGCUGAGCAGAGGCCAGCACCAUGCCUCCUGUAAAGCCUGCAGAACCAGGAGCCAAGUAAACCUCUUUUCAUUAUUUAUUUAUUUAUUUGUUUUGACACAGGGUCUCGCUCUGUUGCCUAGGCUGGAGUGCAGUGGCGUGAUCUCGGCUCACUGCAACCUCUGCCUCCUGGGCUCAGGUGAUCCUCCCACCUCACCCUCCUGAGUAGCUGGGACUACAGGCACACGCCACCAUACCUGGCUAAUUUUUCAUAUUUUUUGUAGACAUGGGGUCUUACUGUUGCCCAGACUGGUCUCAAACUCCUGACCUCAAGUGAUCUAUCCACCUUGGCCUUCCAGAGUGCUGGGAUCACAGGCAUGAGCUACCAUGCCUGGCCCUCUUUUCUUUUAAAAUUGCCCAGUCCUAAGUAUUUCUUUAUAGCAAGGCAACCACAGCCUAACACAGCUCACGAUGCUGAGGUCUCAAAAGUUCAAGAUCGGGCGUCUGCCUCUGGUGAGGGCCUUGCUGCCGCUGCCUCCACUCAUGGCAGAAGGUGAAGGGCAGCUGGAGUGCGUGGAGACGGUGUGCGAGAGGGAGCCGGAGUGUGUGGAGACCGUGUGCGAGAGGGAGCUGGAGGAGUUGGGAAGUACAGGCCUUUUUUUUUUUUUUUUUUAAGAUGGAGUCUCGCUCUGUUGCCCAGGCUGGAGCACAGUGGCGCAAUGCCGGCUCACUGCAACCUCCGCCUCCCGGGUUCAAGCGAUUCUCCUGCCUCAGCCUCCUGAGUAGCUGGGAUUAGAGGCAUGCGCCACUAUGCCCGGCUAAUUUUUGUAUUUUUGUAGAGACGGGGUUUCACCAUGUUGGUCAGGCUGAUCUUGAACUUCUGACCUCGUGAUCCGCCCGCCUUGGCCUCCCAAAGUGCUGAGAUUAUAGGCAUGAGGCACCGCGCCGGCCGUGCAGGUGUUUUUAAAAGCCCCUCUUGCUGGAACUAGUAAGAGUGAAAACUCACUCAUUACCAAGAGGACAGCACCAAACUGUUCGUGAGGAAUCUGCCCCCAUGACCCAGACACCUCCAACACUGGGGCUCAAAUUUCAACCUGAGGUUUGAAGGGGACCAACACCCAAACUAUAGAAACAGGGAAAGAGGAAAGUUUACGGAUACCCAUUUAGAAAGAAUCUGCUAACAAAGGGAAAGAAUCAGGCUGGGCGCGGUGGUUUACGCCUGGAAUCCCAACACUUUGAGAGGCCAAGGUGGGUGGAUCACCUGAGGUCAGGAGUUUGAGACCAGCCUGGCCAGCAUGUGAAACCCUGUCUCUACUAAAAAUGCAAACAUUAGCCAGGCAUAGUGACGUGCACCUGUAGUCCCAGCUACCCAGGAGGCCAGGCAAGAGAAUUGCUGGAGUCCAUGAGGCAGAGGUUGCAGUGAGCAGAGAUCCUGCCACUGCACUCCAGCCCAGGCAACAAGAACGAGACUGCGUCUCAAAAACAAACAAACAACAACAACAACAAAAGGAAAGAAUCAGACUGGCUUGGGACUCUGCUGUCCCCUGCCCGUGACCUCCCAAAAGCGUGUGUUAGAGACUGACCUGCCUAGUGCGUCAGUGGAGGGGGCACUUUGGAGAGGGGCUUGGAUCGUGAGGCCCCGCCCUCGUGAAUGGCUCAGUGCCUUGUGAAAGGGCUUGAUCGAGGGAGUUUGGUCCCUUUUCCCCUUUUGUCUCUCGGCUGUGUGAGGACACCAUGUUCCUCCCCUCUGGAGGAUGCUGUAACAAGCUGUCAUCUCGGGAGGAGACACCAGGCCCUGACCAGACGCUGAACAUGCCAGCACCUUCAUCUUGGACUUUCCAGCCCCCAGAACUGUGAGAAAUAAAUUUCUGUUCUUUAUAAGUACCUAGUCCAUGGUGUUUUGUUACAGCAGCAUGAACAGACUGAGAUAGCGGCUUACAUGUAACCGGAAGCUGCAGAAAAACAUCUUCAGACAGCUGAGACGGCUCCCAGGACUCAUGCCUGGCACAGACACCAUCUGCCUGGCAGGGCAAAGAAAGGCGUCUAUGAGUGUGGGAGGAUUCCGAGUCUAACACCCUGAGCCCAGCCAGGAAGGGGCCAGGAAGGCCUCCUCGUGAACAACGAAUGAAACAGAACCCAGAUCUCAGACAGGGCGGGGAAGGGGAGGGGUACCAUGUCAAGCAGCACUCUGUGCUAGCACUACAACCUGGAGGCAGGGAGCAGUGAGGAGUGGAAAUCUUCCCAUCAGAAGUGAAGAAGGCUGGAUACGGUGGCUCACACCAGUAAUCCCAGCACUUUGGGAGGCAAAGGCAGGAGGAUCACUUGAGCCCAGGAGUUUGAGACCAGCCUAGGCAACUUAGCAAGACCUUGUCUUCAAAAAAAAAAAAAAAUUUUACAAGGAACUACACAGAUGGCAAAACUUAAAAAAAAAAAAAAAGUGGGAAGAGGGGAGAAAGGGAGAUCAAUGUCUUCUACAGAUUUCAUCUUGUCGGGUGGAGAGUGUGAGGAGUAGAGCCAUGUGGUGGGAAACUGUUGGUGUCUUGUUUGCGAAUGACUUUGGAACAAAGACCACCUGAUAAGCACAGUUAAGGAAUGAAAACACACAGGGACUUCCCAGGGAGCCAGGAGGACACUGGGGGAGCAUGAACACCUGCCUUUCCCAUGGGGCCCUGGUGUGCCCAGCCCCCCACUUCAUGUCUGACCCACGUGCUCUCUGGCUGACCUCCUGGGACUCGCACCCGGCCCCCACUUGGUAUCUGAGCCAUGUACUUCCCGGCUGACCUCCCGCAACGUGAAGACUACUCUCGCUCCCUUCAAGGCCACUGUCCCCACCGCAGCCAGAGAGGUGUUUUAUAGUUCAAAUCCUGCCCAGGCACCAUCUUGCCUAAAGGCAGCCCUGAGCCGGAAUCUGUGUGCUUUGCUGAUGGGACUGUAAAAUGGCGCAGUCACUUUUGAAACAGUCUGACAGUUCCUCAAAAGCUUAAACAUAGACUUACCACAUACCCAGCAAUUCCACGCCCAGGCUCUGCCCCAGGAGAAUUGAAAACAUCUAUCCACACGGAAACUUGUACACAAAUGUUCACAGUUGCACUAUUUAUC